GAUGAAGAACGUAGCGAAAUGCGAUACGUAGUGUGAAUUGCAGAAUUCAGUGAAUCAUCGAAUCUUUGAACGCACAUUGCGCCCUUUGUAUUCCAAAGGGCAUGCCUGUUCGAGCGUCAUUUGUACCCUCAAGCUUUGCUUGGUGUUGGGCGUCUUGUCUCCAGUCCGCUGGAGACUCGCCUUAAAGUCAUUGGCAGCCGGCCUACUGGUUUCGGAGCGCAGCACAAGUCGCACUCUUUUCCAGCCAAGGUCAGUGUCCAACAAGCCUUUUUUCAACUUUUGACCUCGGAUCAGGUAGGGAUACCCGCUGAACUUAAGCAUAUCAAUAAGCGGAGGA
rnacentral:misc_RNA from 1 species